AGUGAACGCUGGCGGUAGGCCUAACACAUGCCAGUCGAACGUCAGCCCAGUAAGAGCUUGCUCUUACGGGUGGCGAGUGGCGGACGGGUGAGGAAUACGUCGGAAUCUACUUUUUCGUGGGGGAUAACGUAGGGAAACUUACGCUAAUACCGCAUACGACCUACGGGUGAAAGCAGGGGUUCUUCGGACCUUGCGCGAAUGAAUGAGCCGAUGUCGGAUUAGCUAGUUGGCGGGGUAAAGGCCCACCAAGGCGACGCUCCGUAGCUGGUCUGAGAGGAUGAUCAGCCACACUAGAACUGAGACACGGUCCAGACUCCUACGGGAGGCAGCAGUGGGGAAUAUUGGACAAUGGGCGCAAGCCUGAUCCAGCCAUACCGCGUGGGUGAAGAAGGCCUUCGGGUUGUAAAGCCCUUUUGUUGGGAAAGAAAAGCAGCAGGUUAAUACCCCGCUGUUCUGACGGUACCCAAAGAAUAAGCACCGGCUAACUUCGUG
rnacentral:rRNA from 1 species